CACUUUCUGAACGUUGACCUCGGAU
rnacentral:rRNA from 1 species